UGGAGACACAGAAAAGGCUCUGUUAAUGUCAAUCUCUAGUGCAAGAUGUUCUUUGCAACAACAAGAACAGAGUAGUCAACAGUUGCUUGUAUAUUAGAGAAUUAGAAUGUAUCAAUUUCUGUGUUUGUAAAGACUCUACUGUAUUAGAUUAGACAGAUUAAUUCAGAAAUACAAACCAUUACUUAAGUUACUCUUUUUGACUAUCUCCAAAAUCAACCUUCAUUCUAAACAAAUUAAAAUGAGAUAACUUUAACAACACUUGUUGUGACCGUUUAAUCAAACUGUUA
rnacentral:lncRNA from 1 species